rnacentral:rRNA from 1 species
GGAAGGAUCAUUACUGAAUUGUCGACACGAGUUGUUGCUGGUCCUCGAAUGGGGGCAUGUGCACGCUCUGUUUACACAUCCACUCACACCUGUGCACCCUCUGUAGUUCUAUGGCAUGAGGGACGAUGUCCACUUGCCAUGGUUCUAUAUCUUUACACACACACACCAUGAUAAAGUCUUAUGGAAUGUAUGCCGCGUUUAACGCAAUACAAUACAACUUUCAGCAACGGAUCUCUUGGCUCUCGCAUCGAUGAAGAACGCAGCGAAAUGCGAUAAGUAAUGUGAAUUGCAGAAUUCAGUGAAUCAUCGAAUCUUUGAACGCACCUUGCGCCCUUUGGUUAUUCCGAAGGGCAUGCCUGUUUGAGUAUCAUGAACACCUCAACUCCCAUGGUUCGCCAUGGUGAGCUUGGACUUUGGAGGUCUUGCUGGCAUGUGGUCGGCUCCUCUCAAAUGAAUCAGCUUGCCAGUGUCUGGUGGCGUCGCAGGUGUGAUAACUAUCUACGCUUGUGAUAAAUCCGCCAGGUAACCUUCAGCAAUGGAGGUUCACUGGGGCUCACAGAUGUCUCUGCUCAGUGGGAGACAGCUUUUGAACGUUUGAUCUCAAAUCAGGUAGGACUACCCGCUGAACUUAAGCAUAUCAAUAAGCGGAGGAAAAGAAACUAACAAGGAUUCCCCUAGUAACUGCGAGUGAAGCGGGAAGAGCUCAAAUUUAAAAUCUGGUGUGC